AUGAAGCUGGAUUCGCUAGUAAUCGCGCAUCAGCCACGGCGCGGUGAAUACGUUCCCGGGCCUUGUACACACCGCCCGUCAAGCCAUGGAAGCCGGGGGUGCCUGAAGUGUGCAGCCGCAAGGAGCGCCCUAAGGUAAAACCGGUGACUGGGGCUAAGUCGUAACAAGGUACC
rnacentral:rRNA from 1 species